AAAUUGUAUAGUCUACACUGCGUGAGCGGACGAAAACAACAACACCUAAAAUGUGGAAUAUAGCAUAUAGUCGACAAGAGAAAUCUACGAAAAACAAACAAAACUUUCAACAACGGAUCUCUUGGUUCUCGCAUCGAUGAAGAGCGCAGCGAAAUGCGAUACCUAGUGUGAAUUGCAGCCAUCGUGAAUCAUCGAGUUCUUGAACGCACAUUGCGCCCCUCGGCAUUCCGGGGGGCAUGCCUGUUUGAGCGUCGUUUCCAUCUUGCGCGUGCGCAGAGUUGGGGGAGCGGAGCGGACGACGUGUAAAGAGCGUCGGAGCUGCGACUCGCCUGAAAGGGAGCGAAGCUGGCCGAGCGAACUAGACUUUUUUUCAGGGACGCUUGGCGGCCGAGAGCGAGUGUUGCGAGACAACAAAAAGCUCGACCUCAAAUCAGGUAGGAAUACCCGCUGAACUUAAGCAUAUCAUA
rnacentral:rRNA from 1 species